rnacentral:rRNA from 1 species
CAGUCGCCACGGGAAUACGUAGGGGGCAAGCGUUGUCCGGAAUCAUUGGGCGUAAAGCGCGUGUAGGCGGCUCGAUAAGUCUGCUGUGAAAGUCCAGGGCUCAACCCUGGAAUGCCGGUGGAAACUGUCGAGCUUGAGUCCGGAAGAGGCGAGUGGAAUUCCUGGUGUAGCGGUGAAAUGCGCAGAUAUCAGGAGGAACACCAAUGGCGAAGGCAGCUCGCUGGGACGGUACUGACGCUGAGACGCGAAAGCGUGGGGAGCAAACAGGAUUAGAUACCCCAGUAGUCCCUGUCUCUUAUAC